rnacentral:rRNA from 1 species
UUUAACAAAACAUGUCCUUUAGUUUUAUUAAUUUAAGGUCUAGCCUGCCCACUGAUUUAAUUAUUUAAUGGCCGCAGUAUUUUAACUGUGCGAAGGUAGCAUAAUCAAUUGUCCUUUUAUUGGGGACUAGAAUGAAUGGUUUGAUGAGGGGCCAACUUUCUUUAUUCUAUUUAAUGAAUUUUAUUUUUGAGUUAAAAAGCUUAAAUUUAUUUAAGGGACGAGAAGACCCUAUAGAACUUUACAUAUAAKGUUAUAUAAGUUGUUUAGUUUAUCUUAAUUUAUAUAUUUUAGUAUGUUUUGUUGGGGUGACAUAUAAAUUUUACUAACUUUAUAUUAUUAAUUAUUCAUAAAUUAGUGUUUUCAUGAUCCGUUACUGGCGAUUAAAAGAUUAAGUUACCUUAGGGAUAACAGCGUAAUUCUAUUGGAGAGUUCAUAUCGAUAAUGGAGUUUGCGACCUCGAUGUUGGAUUAAAAUUAUAGCUGGGUGCAGUAGUUCAGUUUAUAAGUCUGUUCGACUUUUAAAAUUUUACAUGAUUGGUUUUU